GACGAACGCUGGCGGCGUGCUUAACACAUGCAAGUCGAACGGAAAGUCCCUUCUUUUUUGGGGUGCUCGAGUGGCGAACGGGUGAGUAACACGUGAGUAACCUGCCCUUGACUUUGGGAUAACUUCAGGAAACUGGUGCUACUACCUGAUAGGAUCUCCUGCUGCAUGGUGGUUGUUGGAAAGUUUCGGCGGUUGGGGAUGGACUCGCGGCUUAUCAGCUUGUUGGUGGGGUAGUGGCUUACCAAGGCUUUGACGGGUAGCCGGCCUGAGAGGGUGACCGGCAACAUUAGGACUGAGAUACGGAACAGAAUACUAGGGGAGGCAGCAGUGGGAAAUAUUGCAGAAUGGGAGGAAGGAUGAGGAAGGAAAGCCGCGUGGGGGAUGACGGCCUUCGGGUGGUAAACCGAAUUGGAAUGUGAAGAAGAGUGAGUGACGGUAAUGGGUAAAGAAGCAACGGCUAACUACGUG
rnacentral:rRNA from 1 species